UACAUGUGGGGCAAGCGUUGUUCGGAAUUACUGGGCAUAAAGGGUGCGUAGGUGGCUUGCUAAGUCAGUGGUGAAAUCGUCCGGCCCAACCGGACACGUGCCAAUGAUACUGGCGAGCUAGAGUGCGUGAGGGGUGGGGGAACGAGCAGUGUAGCGGUGAAAUGCGUAGAUAUUGCUCGGAAGGCCAAAGCCGAAGGGACCCCGACCUGGUACGUAACUGACACUGAGGCACGAAAGCGUGGGGA
rnacentral:rRNA from 1 species